CUAAGGAAUAUUUCCGGCAAUGGACGAAAGUCUGACGGAGCGACGCCGCGUGGAUGAUGAAGGCCGGAAGGUUGUAAAAUCCUUUUAUGACUGAGGAAUAAGUGAAGUGAGGGAAACGCUUCAUGGUGACUGUAGGUCAUGAAUAAGCAACGGCUAAUUACGUGCCAGCAGCCGUGGUAACACGUAAGUUGCGAGCGUUGUUCGGAAUUAUUGGGCGUAAAGGGUAUGUAGGCGGUUCUGCAAGUCUGGUGUGGAAUGCCGGGGCUCAACCCCGGAACUGCGUUGGAAACUGCAGGACUUGAAUCGCUGAGGGGCAGCCAGAAUUCCAGGUGUAGGGGUGAAAUCUGUAGAUAUCUGGAAGAAUACCAAUGGCGAAGGCAGGCUGCCAGCAGAUGAUUGACGCU
rnacentral:rRNA from 1 species